AGACCCGAAACCCGGUGAUCUAGCCAUGGGCAGGUUGAAGGUUGGGUAACACUAACUGGAGGACCGAACCGACUAAUGUUGAAAAAUUAGCGGAUGACCUGUGGCUGGGGGUGAAAGGCCAAUCAAACCGGGAGAUAGCUGGUUCUCCCCGAAAGCUAUUUAGGUAGCGCCUCGUGAAUUCAUCUCCGGGGGUAGAGCACUGUUUCGGCUAGGGGGCCAUCCCGGCUUACCAACCCGAUGCAAACUGCGAAUACCGGAGAAUGUUAUCACGGGAGACACACGGCGGGUGCUAACGUCCGUCGUGAAGAGGGAAACAACCCAGACCGCCAGCUAAGGUCCCAAAGUCAUGGUUAAGUGGGAAACGAUGUGGGAAGGCCCAGACAGCCAGGAUGUUGGCUUAGAAGCAGCCAUCAUUUAAAGAAAGCGUAAUAGCUCACUGGUCGAGUCGGCCUGCGCGGAAGAUGUAACGGGGCUAAACCAUGCACCGAAGCUGCGGCAGCGACACUGUGUGUUGUUGGGUAGGGGAGCGUUCUGUAAGCCUGCGAAGGUGGCCUGUGAGGGUUGCUGGAGGUAUCAGAAGUGCGAAUGCUGACAUAAGUAACGAUAAAGCGGGUGAAAAGCCCGCUCGCCGGAAGACCAAGGGUUCCUGUCCAACGUUAAUCGGGGCAGGGUGAGUCGACCCCUAAGGCGAGGCCGAAAGGCGUAGUCGAUGGGAAACGGGUUAAUAUUCCCGUACUUGGUGUUACUGCGAAGGGGGGACGGAGAAGGCUAUGUUGGCCGGGCGACGGUUGUCCCGGUUUAAGCGUGUAGGUGUGUGUUCCAGGUAAAUCCGGUUCACUUUAACACUGAGGCGUGACGACGAGGCACUACGGUGCUGAAGCAACAAAUGCCCUGCUUCCAGGAAAAGCCUCUAAGCAUCAGGUAACAUCAAAUCGUACCCCAAACCGACACAGGUGGUCAGGUAGAGAAUACCAAGGCGCUUGAGAGAACUCGGGUGAAGGAACUAGGCAAAAUGGUGCCGUAACUUCGGGAGAAGGCACGCUGACACGUAGGUGAAGUGAUUUACUCAUGGAGCUGAAGUCAGUCGAAGAUACCAGCUGGCUGCAACUGUUUAUUAAAAACACAGCACUGUGCAAACACGAAAGUGGACGUAUACGGUGUGACGCCUGCCCGGUGCCGGAAGGUUAAUUGAUGGGGUCAGCGCAAGCGAAGCUCCUGAUCGAAGCCCCGGUAAACGGCGGCCGUAACUAUAACGGUCCUAAGGUAGCGAAAUUCCUUGUCGGGUAAGUUCCGACCUGCACGAAUGGCGUAAUGAUGGCCAGGCUGUCUCCACCCGAGACUCAGUGAAAUUGAACUCGCUGUGAAGAUGCAGUGUACCCGCGGCAAGACGGAAAGACCCCGUGAACCUUUACUAUAGCUUGACACUGAACAUUGAGCCUUGAUGUGUAGGAUAGGUGGGAGGCUUUGAAGUGUGGACGC
rnacentral:rRNA from 1 species